UUCUCAGAGUUACAGGAUGCUUAUGAUUGACUAUAGCUUGGAUUUACGGGUGAACAGGAGGAUAAAUAGAGUGUCAUAGUAUCUGAUCAGAGAAUUGAAGAAAUUUAAUUUGUAAUUAUGUAAGGUUUUAUGAAUUAUUGUUGAAAUUAAUUAUUAUGGAUGUUAAGAUUUAAUGAUUUAUUUUGACCUUGCAUAUUCUUU
rnacentral:lncRNA from 1 species